GGAUUAGGCUACUUCUUAGAGUGGAUCGUGUCUCAGGGGGCGGGGGAACCCCCCUAAAGUUUGACCCCCGGCCGACGGGUGAGUAAUGUCCGGCAAACUGCCUGAUGGAGGGGGAUAACUACUGGAAACGGUAGCUAAUACCGCAUAACGUCGCAAGACCAAAGAGGGGGACCUUCGGGCCUCUUGCCAUCAGAUGUGCCCAGAUGGGAUUAGCUAGUAGGUGGGGUAAUGGCUCACCUAGGCGACGAUCCCUAGCUGGUCUGAGAGGAUGACCAGCCACACUGGAACUGAGACACGGUCCAGACUCCUACGGGAGGCAGCAGUGGGGAAUAUUGCACAAUGGGCGCAAGCCUGAUGCAGCCAUGCCGCGUGUGUGAAGAAGGCCUUCGGGUUGUAAAGCACUUUCAGCGAGGAGGAAGGUGGUGAGCUUAAUACGUUCAUCAAUUGACGUUACUCGCAGAAGAAGCACCGGCUAACUCCGUGCCAGCAGCCGCGGUAAUACGGAGGGUGCAAGCGUUAAUCGGAAUUACUGGGCGUAAAGCGCACGCAGGCGGUUUGUUAAGUCAGAUGUGAAAUCCCCGGGCUCAACCUGGGAACUGCAUUUGAAACUGGCAAGCUAGAGUCUCGUAGAGGGGGGUAGAAUUCCAGGUGUAGCGGUGAAAUGCAUAGAGAUCUGGAGGAAUACCGGUGGCGAACGCGGCCCCCUGGACGAAGACUGACGCUCAGGUGCGAAAGCGUGGGGAGCAAACAGGAUUAAAUACCCUGGUAGUCCACGCUGUAAACGAUGUCUAAUUUGGAGGUUGUGCCCCUUGAAGGCGUGGCCUUCCCGGAGCCUAACGCGUUUAAAUCCGACGCCCCUGGGGUAAUAACAGCCCGCAGGGGUUAAGAACUCCAGAUGAAUUUAG
rnacentral:rRNA from 1 species